GACGAACGCUGGCGGCGUGCCUAAUACAUGCAAGUAGAACGCACAGUUUAUACCGUAGCUUGCUACACCAUAGACUGUGAGUUGCGAACGGGUGAGUAACGCGUAGGUAACCUGCCUGGUAGCGGGGGAUAACUAUUGGAAACGAUAGCUAAUACCGCAUAAUAUUAAUUAUUGCAUGAUAAUUAAUUGAAAGGUGCAAUUACACCACUACCAGAUGGACCUGCGUUGUAUUAGCUAGUAGGUGAGGUAACGGCUCACCUAGGCGACGAUACAUAGCCGACCUGAGAGGGUGAUCGGCCACACUGGGACUGAGACACGGCCCAGACUCCUACGGGAGGCAGCAGUAGGGAAUCUUCGGCAAUGGACGAAAGUCUGACCGAGCAACGCCGCGUGAGUGAAGAAGGUUUUCGGAUCGUAAAGCUCUGUUGUAAGAGAAGAACGGGUGUGAGAGUGGAAAGUUCACACUGUGACGGUAUCUUACCAGAAAGGGACGGCUAACUACGUG
rnacentral:rRNA from 1 species